UGUGUGUAGGAGUGAGUGAUUAAUCCAGUGGAAACAAGGAAACACUUGAUUUAAUCAUUC
rnacentral:sRNA from 1 species